CAGUAACCACUUACAAAUAUCUAUUUUCAUCCUUAUUAAUUAGCAAGCUAGCUCUUUAAGGAAAAAAUGGCUGCAGCCAAAUCUGCUAUUGGCAGAGGAAAGGUAAAUAGCGUUUGGAAGAGUAUAAGGAGUUGCAAAUUACAGUAACAUUAACAUUCUUGAAUUUUCUUAAGCAAUAUUUUAUGUUUUCUAGUUGUCUACACACAUUAAUUGGUCUCAUGAAUUGUCUGAUUAAGCUUCUUCUGAGUGAUACAGUUUGUUAUUAAUUGGUCGGAUUUAGUUUUCUUAUAAGCAGUUUGUUUAUUUGAAAGGAUUCUGAUUGAUUUUGGGAACUCAAUUGUUUGGGUUUCACAGAACGACAUCAGUUCACUAGAACCAGUGAAGCCAGCUGACCCUCACGUGAUCCAGAUCGGACAAUAUGUAGUGGAACAAUGUCACCACGGCCAGCUGCUUUUCGUCGCCGUGGUUGGCGGAUUCACCUGGAGCGGUGAUGGAGGUUAUUACUACGCACUUAUCAUUGAAAAUCAGGAUAGCGACGGUGCCACAUAUCUCCACAAAGCACUUGUUCUUGAGACCCCAAGUGAAACGAAACUCAUCUGGCACAAGAAAUAAGCAAGCACUGCUGUUGAUCAACUGAGGAUCAACGACAUUAAGUACUCUAAUUAUAUAGUGUCUUUGGUGUGGUUUUCAGUUUCUGCAUGGAUGAUGUACUGCUGGCAUGAAUACAUCUCCCUGCUGUUGUACUAAUAUGUAAUGUGCAGUUCUACCAACAAAAAUGCACCGUUAAAUAAAAAAAAUCCGUCGGUGUUUGAGUUUGUGUCAUUGUACUAGUAUGUCAAAGGUGCACUUAUACGAACAAAAAUGCACCAUUAAAUAAAUAAAAACAGCCGUCUGUGUUUGAAUUUAUAUCAAUGUAUUUUGUUUCUCUGUUACUUGCAAGCAGGUUCCAAUCACUAAGUUUUGUAUGUCAACUAGAUACUAUACUCAUGAUUAUAAAAGCUUACUAGUUAAAUAUUACUUAAAAUGAAUCCAAAUCUUAAAAGGAAAUGAAAGAUUAAAUGAUAUAUUGAGAGAAAGACAUAUAACUCAAAAACUAGAGUUCAAAUAUGAGAUUUUCUGCUUUCUACAACCAUUCUUUUGGUCAUCUCUAAACAAUGUGUAUCUUACCAUGUGCUAAAUAAGUUUAGAAUGCAUAGGUAUGAGCAAAGAAUGAUAUGCUCUCUUUAAAAUGUGACAACAAAAUUAAUAGAUCUACAUACUUAUCCCCAUUUUUUGUUUGAAAUUCAAUGAAUUAGAGAUCAUGAAAUUCAACACAAAAUCAUUCAAGCAAUCAAGAAGAAAAUAACAUCUUACGGUUAAUAUUAAGGAAAAAAAUUAGACUUUCCUCCCCCUUCAGUUUUAGAACUAUGUUUAGUUUUCCUUUUAGUCCAAAACUCCCUCUUGAUUUCACUGUAGCUAAAUGCUUAGGCACUUGACAUAUGGUAAGAUACACACAUAUUUAUAUGUACGUACAUACACACACACACCCACACACACACAGAUAUAUAUAUAUAUACACAUAACACAUAUAUACACACACAUAUGCACACUAGUAACAGAGAAGGUGUUUUCCACGUGAAUAUGAUGCGUUUCGAUUUUCCUUUUCUUCUCAAAAAUUUAAAAAAAAAAUCAAUGAAAUUGAGAUAAAAAUAAUGUGAUAUUAAACGUUUAUAUUUUUUUAUAUUUUUUGAAACAUGAUUUAUCCUAACCAACACAAAUGCGCAAGAAGCAAAGUAUCCUUUAUCACAAGAGCACUUUUGUUUUGUAAUAACAUCAAUAUUUUCGUCUUUUGGUUGAAUUUGAAUGACUUGAAUGUUGUUCUCUUUUAUGCCAUUUGAGUUAAAGUUUUUAUCUUCCUAAAUAGUUUAUUGUUCCCCUUUACGUCAUUCUAUGAAUUUUUUAUUAGUUUUAGUAAGUUUUUUCCUUUAUUAUUUCUAUUAAUGGUGGAAUGUAAAAUGAUUGAAAGUGCUAUUGUAAUUAUAAAAUAAAUUUAAUGCAUUUAAGGUAAUGACUAGUGUUAUAGCUGUAUACCAAUUUGAAUAGAUGUACCUUUGGUGUAGGCAUGGCCACGGUUCCAGAACGAACCGCAAAUAUACAAGUUAAAAAAAUCGAAUUACACCAAUUCACUGCAAACAUACGUACAUGUAAUCCAAGAAGUAGAUAUCGCUCUUGCGGACCUCCGUGUGCCCCGUCUUCUUUGGGAUGACAUUGUGAGCCAUCAUGUAAAUGAUAAGCCGAUGACGAGGUUCGAAGACAUUAGCCAAAAUGGUCUCCUUCCUUGUAGAGCGAAAAGGUUGGUACUCAAGACCAAACCUAGCCAUGGCCAGCGAGGGAUCCCACCUCCUAUUCGGGGGAACAAACUCCUUCUUCAAAUCUACUGGACGGCCGUCAUCCAUACACCCCAAAAUAGCGGCCAAAUCUUGACGUGACAAGGUGAUUCGUCUUCCACGUACCCAGGACUCAACUAUUUCUCCACUAUAGCGCGCCUUACUCUCAAUGUUAGUGUAAAACUCGCGCACCAAGUCUGGGUAGUAAUGGUUUGGAAGGGUGAGAAUCGGAGCCCAUCCUAGCUGAGCAAAAGCAUCUGAGAUGUUGUACAUCAUCUCAACUGGUGGACUGACAUGCAUCUCAAACAAAAACUCCAAAUUAACACGCGCCUCAUGCCACUCCUGAUUCCUCCGAGUGUUGAACCUCGCACUGUCAAAUAAUGAUUUUCCCGCUCCACGGGAAGUGCCCUCACCCGGUUGACGGCUAACUGGUGGAGGAGAAGGUGAAUUCUCCUCCUCAGUCACUUCCAUCUCUUCAUUAACCUCCCUCUCCUCACUACUAGAGGAUGAAAGUACCGCUCUUCUUCCCCUUGGCAUAGUACCUAAAAGAAAAUGUUGCCAUUAACCACAUGUACUUAGACACAAUUCACAAUUUGGCAAUGAAUAUCCUAAAAUGAUCCAAAUAAUCUCCAAUUUGUCCCUUCAAGUGCUAAUUCGUCCAAUAACUAAUGUAAAAGGACCAAACAAGAAGAGCCAUAAUUUUAUGCCAAAAAUUGCUCAAAAUCACCAAUUGAAAUAAGAUAUGGAAUAAUUAUAACCCAAUUAGUGAAAAUAGCAACAAUUAUGAUUAUAACUAUUUAGAAUUAACAAUAAUAAUAUGCUUUUAGCUAUAAUCAUGUUUAGGCAAAAAUUAAAUCCAUUAACUCACCAAAUCAACCAAAUUACUCACUAUACACAAUGCACAUGCUCAAACAUCAUCAACUAACCAUUCUUAACCAUAAUUAAUCAUCACUAAUGGCUCAAAAACAUCCUAACUCCAUUUCCCAAUUUCCUUCAAAUAUAGCAAUUAUCAAUUUAAAAUCACUAGUAAACCAAUAAUUUGCUACAUUUAAACACAUAAACAUGCUUAAACAAUGUUAACAAGCAUGAAUAAAAUAAAAAAUAGUCAAAUACAUCAUCAAAUUUUUGAAAUUAAAAGAUGUCAGAAAACUCAGGAUAAAAAAAUAUGAACUUCUAAAAUCAAAAGAUUUGAUGAAGAAACUUAUCUCAAUCACAUAGAAGGAUGUUUGGUGAUGCUAAAAAUGAAAAAAUCCUUAUGAAAAAACCUCCAAUUGACCUCUAAUUGAAGAAAUUAGAGUUGAAGAACCCUAACCUUCAAUCCUUCAAAAACUGAAUUUGAGGUGUUUUUCUUGGAUUUCAAUCGGUUAAAAAAAAUUGUAUGGAGCUCAAAAGGUGUUGGGUUGAUGUUUUCUAGCAAGAUUAUGGAACAAAAUUGAAGAUUUGUGAGUUGGGUAGAAGAGGAGGAAAAACGCGCCUGGAAAAUGGAUAAGAGAAGAAGAAGAAAUGUUGGAAAUCGCGUUUCUACAACCUAUAUUCAGUCACAGAAAACGCGACUGAAAACGCGCCUUCAACUCUCGUUUUUUAAGUGGCGUUUUAUGCACAAAUCUUGCAGCAAUGAAAACGCGACUAUGUAGGAAAACGCGACUUUGAGUCGCGUUUCUGAAGUCGCGUUUUUGAAUCUUGAUCCAGGCUUGAAAACGUGAUUUAGCAGAAAAACGCGAUUCUAUGUCGCAUUUUGUAGCGCGUUUUCUUCGCGUUUUCUUUGUAAACGCGUUUUCUGCUGCGACUUUUAGCAGAAUUUCAACUUUUCAAAAGUUACACCAAGUACCCCAAUCACUCAAAAUGCAUCAUAGAUCAUUUCUUUGCCAAUUUUAUCGAUGUGCACACAUGUAAAUUGAUAAAAACAUGCAUUUUACCCCUUUUCGACGGAUCAAACACACCUUUAACGCAAAUCAAGGGGUUGAGUGGCUUGAUCAAGGUUCGCCUUUUUUACCUCAAAUGGUCAUUCUUGCUUCCAAUUGCCAACCCUAUAGCACAAAAACAACAAAUCAACUAAAACACUUAUUCAACCCACAAAAUCACACCAAAAUAACAUAAGGUACUAAAAUAUUGGGCUGCCUCCCAACAAGCGCUUUUAUUUAUAGUCGUUGGCUCGACUAUAUCACCUCCUUUUUUCAAGGAGGUUUAGUUAACGAAUAAUCCACCAUUUUUGGACGUGGUGAAUCAUUAAAUGGUGACUUUAUAGCAAAAGUCACAUGAUUUAAUGAUGUGAGAAAUGAAAGUGACUUACCUAUUCCAAGUGUUUCAUAGAUAUUACCUUGAAUAUGCACCACUUGAGAAUUCACCAAAGGAAAUGCCAUGAGAGUAUCUUGGGCAGGAAUACCUUUAAAACAUGUACUUUUUAUACACUCUUCAAGAGGGGUGAAAAAUGAGUCAUUAAAACUCACCUCUUGAGAUUCAAAGUUAGUUCCAAAGAUAUUAUUAUGUGAAAUGGACAUUUCUUUAUCGAAACACACUUGAGAUUCAUCAUUUUCAUCAAAAUGCAACCCAAUUUCACAUACAACAUUCCCACCAUUCAUGCUAGGAUCAUUUUGCAAAUUAUUAGAGGAAAUAACUUCACACAAUGCAUUCAAUUGCUCAUGUAUUUUACUAAAGUGAGAAGCUAAUUCAUCUAUUCUUUCCUCAAUCCUAUCAAAACGGUCGGAAGUUGCAUUUGCUAGCUUUUUUAUUGCUAAAUCAAAUUGAUUAGAAAAAUUUUCUAUAACUAGCUCCCAAGAUACAUUAGAAUCAUUAGCUAAUGAUUCACUUUCUAACUCCCAAGGUAGAGGUGCAUUAGCUAACUUCUCUAUUGCCAACUCCCAAGAUGGUUUUGAUUCAUUUUGGACACUUUCAAGUUAGUAAUCAUAAAAAUACGGAUAAUCACUAUAUGCACAUUGAUUUUCCCAACCAUAAGCAGGAGAAUUAACACUAUAUCGAUCAAAACAAGGAUUGUAAUGCUCUAAUUCAUCAUAAUAAUCCACAUUUUGUACUUGCAUACAUGUAUUAGUAGCAUGAUAACCUCCACACAAGUCACAAAUCACAUGAUAAGAAUUAAAAGCAUUAACAUUCCUCCCUUGCUCAAUUUCAUGCAUAAUUAUAUCCAUUUGAACUUCUAACAUCAUAACAUCAAAUUUAGCUUUUAAACACCUUAAACCAUCUUCAAAAGACAUACAUUCAGUAAAUUCUUGGUUACCUCUAUUGAAAGAGCUUUGCACUUGGUAACCAUCCAUUGUCAAUCUUCCACUUCUCAAGUAUUGUCCUCCAAAUUGAUCUAUCCUCCUUAUCACCUAAAAUUGCUUUUAAACAACUUAAGAGCAAGAUUAGUAAGAAAAAUAGGUGAUAAAAUGCAUACACACAUAAAACACUAAAAUAACAGAAAAUAACCUUCACACAAUAACUAAUAAAAUGUCUAAACUAAUAAAGUUGCUCUUCAAACAGAUAUUACCAAAUCUUCCCCGACAACGGCGCCAAAAACUUGACGGGUAUUUUACAUACGUACAAGUUAAAAAAUCGAAUUACACCCGUUCACUGCAAGUAUAUAGGUCAACUAGUAGUUUAGGGUAUAUAUCGGGUCGAUCCCACAGGAAAGAGUGAACAAUUACCGGUAUUACUAAAGCUUCUCUAUUAUUUAGACUAUCAAUGAAUUAUAACAAAUUUAACCUACUGAAAUUAUACAAAAUAACAAAUAAAAGCUCCUUAGGUUGUGGUAUCCCUAACUACUCAUGCAAGUGUUAUAUUUGGAUCAUUGAGUACUACAUCUAGGCUAGUUAUGGUGUAAUUUCCUUAUGCAUUUGAAUCCUACUUUCGUAGUGAAUCAAUUAUACUUAUAAUUAAUCCAUACAUAUUCUCAUGGUUAUGAAAUUAGCUACAAGUUCAUUUCUUCAGUGAAAUUACAUGAAAUGAAUCACUAAAAACCACAUAGGUGCACCUCUACUUUCAUGAGUGUACUCCCUAUGUUUAGCACUUCUUGAACUAGUGUUAAAUCUCAAUUUUUAUUGCAGAAAUAACAGCUUAGAUAAUCACAAUUAAUGGUACCAGAUUAAUCAUGAUUUAAAGAGCUAAAGUACUAAAUAACUUGCUCAAAUCAUAGCAAUCAAAUAACCAAAUAAUAAACACUAACAAUCAUAGAAAGUUCAACCAAACCCAAGGUAUAAACUUUAAAGACACAUAAUAAACACAAAAUCCAGAACUUGUAUAUUAACUAAACUUGGAAUCAGGUACAAAAGAUAAAGAUUUGGAAGGAAUACAACCCUUGUCACAUGAGCUUUCUUCCUUGCCUUCUUCAUCCUCCAUCUUCUUCUUCAUCUAGCUAAUAACAAGAAUGGAUGAACUAUCUUACUCUACACUAAACUAAACUAACACUAGGAAGAUGAAAAGAGCUACAUUUCUGCAACUUCAAGCUUCUCCCAUAUGUCUUCUCUUCUACAUUUGCUAGCUAGAGAGAAUUUGCUAUCAGAAAUUCUGGCUACGUAAGGAUCUCUUGACCUCUCCCAAUGUCUCUGCAUAAAAACUGCUCAAGAGCUCCCUUUUUCCAAGUCAAAUUCCACCUUUUGAUUCCCAAAUCUCAACUUUGUUAGGAUAGUCAAUAACCAAUGUUUUGACUUGAAAAUAAACCACUUUUCUUGCCCUUUUGUCUUCUGAAGCAUGUGCACCGAAUUCCUUUGCAUCUUAUAGCUGGAAAGUGGUAUGAACACAAGAGAAAUGGCUGAGUCAAAUUGCAGAAUUUCGGCUACAAAACGCGCCUACACAAAACGCGACAUCAACUCGCGUUUUGUCUACUCGCGUUUUCACUCUGGCCUUAUUUCAACUGCAACUUUCUCCAGGAUAAAGGCCGAACUAGCUUUUGUGCAAAACACAAAAGUUGUAGCCCUUUGCGUUAGAUUUCCAAUGCUUCAAGAAUCAUCCAAAUCGGAGCUUUGUAGGCUGAGAUAUGAUGGAAAUACUAUCACCUGGUCAAACCUCUGUUUUAACUUCCGACCACAGAAUGCAGUUUCUGUAUUCCGACUUUUUGUCCAUGAAAAUGGUAGAAUUGGAUUUCGAUGUAUGCAUACGAAUUGUAGAUCUCUUUCUUAGCUUUAAAAUGGUAUAAAGAUCACCUCAAUCCGAUAAGUGUAGCGCCAGAUAUGGUCGAAAUACCGAAAAGUGUCAAAACUGACUUGUAUUGCAUUUCCUCACUUGAACGUUUUUCACUUCAUUCUUCUUGUUACCACUUGAAUUCAUCACCAAUUAUCUACUUUUCACCUCAUUUGACAUCCAUUGGUGAUUGAAUCAUCAUUCCUGCAUAAAAAUGAAGUUUUUACCAUUAAAAUCACUAAAAAUGCAAUAUUAUCCACUUUUACCAAAAAUAUAUAAUUUUACCAAAAACCUCUUUAUUUUAAUUAUAAAACUAAAUAAUCAACUCAAAAUUAACUAAUAAAAUGCACUUAAAAAUACGUAAAAUAAACUCUUAUCAGCACCAUCUAAGAUGGUUCUGGUUCUGGCUCCAGAACCGCCGGUUCUGGUUCUUCAAAGAGGUAGAACCAGAACCGCACCAUCUAAGAUGGUUCUGGUUCCAGAACCGCCGGUUCUGCUUCUUCAAAGAGAUAGAACUAGAACCGCACCAUCUGGUUCUGGUUCCGGUUCUGGUUCCUUAUAGUUUUGAUUUCGAUUCCUUGUUUUUCUGGUUCUAAUUCCGUAUAGUUGUAUACAAUUUUAUUUAAUUUUUAUCUUUACCAAUUUAAAUACGAAUAUAACAAUAUAUUUAAAAUUUUAAAUAGAAUGUAAAAAAUAAAUACAAAAUAAAGAUCAUAUUUUAAUUUUAUUAUUAUUCAACAAAGUACGAAGUAAUAAAUAGAUAAUACAAAUUUUAUGAAAAAUACAUUACAUUGUCAAAUUAAAAAAUACAUAACACUAUCAAAUGGUAAUCAUUUUAAAUGGAAAAGAAAAUACUUGAUUUUUUCAUUGAAAUUGAGAUGAAAUAUCAAAACAAACAUUAAUUAUUUAAUCAUUUUCAUUGCUUGCGACGGCACUAGAAUCAGUUGUAUAAUUGAAAUCUUCUUCUUCAUCUUUUUCCAUUUCUUGUUGUCUAUAUUCUGCUCUAGUCCAAUCAUCCACGUAUGCUUGAAUUUCUAGUGAUUCUGGGCUUAAUCUCGAUCUUGUCUCAUCCAAAAUACUUGCACCGGCACUAAAAGCUUGUUCCACUGCUACUGUUGAUGCUGGAGUUGCUAAUAUUUGCUUAGCAAUAAGGGAGAGGAUAGGAUAAUUCUUUGAUUUUCGCUUCCACCAGUCAAGGACUUUAAACUGUUUCGUUAAGCUACUAUCAUCAUGCUCAAACUUGGUAGUUAGAUAUGAUUCAAGUUCCGUAUUAGUAUUGAGUGAACCCUUUAUUUAUAUUAAUUUUUUUUAACAGUUCUAGAACCGGCAGUUCUGGUUCUAGUUCUAUUUUUUAGAGAACCAGAACCAGAACGUUUAUCCAAGGUUCUACCACGGUUAUGGUUCCACGGUUUUGGUUCCGGUUCUGGUCCGGUUCCAAACAGUCCGGUUUCGAUCCGGUUCCCGGUUCCAAGUGGAACCAUGGCCAUGCCUACUUUGGAGUGUUGGCAGAACUAUGCGUUUUGUUGAAAAAUGAGGAUUGAUGGUUCAGGAAAUGGAUAUUUAAUUUAUAGGCCAAGCUAAUUUGGUGAUCUUUGAGGAUAUUUCCACACUGACCUAGUCACCGAUGUGUCAAAACGUGUUCUACAUUGGUCCUUGUCAAAUUUUCACACGUAUUAAAUUAAUUAUAAGACGGCGCAAAAUUCAAGUUCAUCAUAGUAGCAGCUCCGACCAUGACACUGGAUGACUCCAAUUGCACUGUAUGACUUAAUACUUAGAUUUCUGAGUUACUUCUAUAUGAUUACCUGAUCUUUCAUGUAUUUAUGACUGAUAAGAGUUUAUUUUACGUAUUUUUAAGUGCAUUUUAUUAGUUAAUUUUGAGUUGAUUAUUUAGUUUUAUAAUUAAAAUAAGGAGGUUUUUGGUAAAAUUAUAUAUUUUUGGUAAAAGUGGAUAAUAUUGCAUUUCUAUUGAUUUUAAUGGUAAAAACUUCAUUUUUAUGCAGGAAUGAUGAUUCAAUCACCAAAGGAUGUCAAAUGAGGUAAAAAAUAGAGAUUUGGUGAUGAAUUCAAGUGGCAACAAGAAGAAUGAAGUGAAAAACGAUCAAGUGAGGAAAUGCAAUACAAGUCAGUUUUGACACUCUUCAGUAUUUUGACCAUAUCUGGAGCUACCCUUAUCGGAUUGAGGUGAUCUUUAUACCAUUUUAAAGAUAAGAAAGAGACCUACAAUUCGUAUGAAGACAUCGAAAUCCAUUUCUGCCAUCUUCAUGGGCAAAACGUUGGAAUACAGAAGCUGCAUUCUGUGGUCGGAAGUUAAAACAGAGGUUUGAACAGGUGACAGUAUUUCGAUCAUAUCUCAGGCUACAAAACUCCGAUUUGGAUGAUUCUUAAAGCAUUGGAAAGCUAACUCAAAGGGCUACAACUUUUGUGUUUUGUACAAAAUCUAGUUCGGCCUUUAUGAUAGAUAAAAUCGCAGAUGAAGUAAGGCCAAAGUGAAUACGCGAGUACACAAAACGUGACUUGUAACCGCGUUUUGUGUAGGCGCGUUUUAUAGCCGAAAUUCUGCAAUUUGACUCAGCCAAUUCUCUUGUGUUCAUACCACUUUCCAGCUAUAAGAUGCAAGGGAAUUCGGUGCACAUGCUUCAGAAGACAAAAGGGCAAGAAAAGUGGCUUAUUUUCAAGUCAAAAAUAUUGGUUUUUGACUAUGCUAACAAAGUGGAGAUUUGGGAAUCAAAGGAUAGAAUUUGACUUGGAAAAAUGGAGCUUUUGAGUAGUUUUUAUGCAGAGAUAGAGGGAGAGGUCUGAACAUCCAUUCGUAGCUUAGCUUCUUACAGAAAAACAUAGUCUCUCUAGCUAGGUACUUGCAAGGGACAAUUGAGGUUUCAUCUUGUAAUCAUCUAAGUUCAAGACAAGGAGAUUUUUGGAAGGCUUCACCAUAUCUUGGCUAAGACUUUCUUUACUCUUUUUGUAUUUGUAAAUUCAUGAUGAUUUGCAUUAAUGAAGUUAUGAGUGUUUCAUCAUUCAUGAGUAGCUAAUUUCCUUUAUCUAGGGAGUAGAUGAAGCUUAUGGCCAAAUGAUAUGAAGUGAUUGUGAUUUAUGCUUGUUAUGUCUUGUAUUAACUUAUCUACUUGUGUAUGUUGGAUUACUUGUUGCUUGAUCACCAAUAGCAGGUUUAUAGUUGUUUUUACUCAUUGAGAAAUGGUAAAAAUAAUGGAAUGACAUAAGUAGAGCUUGAGUAGUAUAUUCAUGAGAAUAGAAAUACAUUCAAGUGGAUGAAAUCUGCAUUUCAUGUGUGAAUAAGAACAGAUUUAGUAUUUACCAAGAGAUUAGGAAAAACUAAUCUGUUUUAACCCAUUAUUAUCAUGAGAAUGUGAUUUUGGUAUUUCUGAAAAUGAAUCCUUGGUUAAACAAGAGCAGUAACAAGUGUUGAAUUAAUUCAUUUUAGAUCUUUUGUGUUAUAAGUGGAAUCUACAUCCCUAGAUCUUAAUAUUUAGUGAAUUCUACUCCUAUUGUGAAAUUGCAUUUAUCUAUUUAAGAAUUUUUGUAGUUGAAUUAAAAUCUGAAGUUUCUGCUUAAAUUAAUUGUAAGUCUAAAUAAUAGAGUAAAUUAGUAUCUAAUAAUUGUUUUAAUUGCUCCUCGUGGGAUCGACCCGAUACACAUCUUGUACUACAAUUGCGACCUGUAUACUUGCAGUCCAACGGGUGUAAAAUCGGAAUUAAACUUGCAUUGAUACAAAAAUCCCGUCAAUGACUAUACUAAACUGCAACCAUGACCAUGUCACAAUAGUCUUCCCUCUUCUGUAACUUUUUGAGUAUCAAUAAAAGUGAUAUUUGCAUAAAAUAUUGGUUUAAAAACGGAAUAACAUAUGUUUGCUUCCUUUUAAGAGCAUGGAUAAGACUUGUUUUAAGUGAUGACUUAAAUGCACCUUCCUCAAUUGCACUUAAUGAGUGGAUAAAUAUAUGCAAUCACAAUAAUUGCACACCUUGCAUUUCGAUAUGUUCCAUAAUUAACUAUACAUUUCAAAAAAAGACUAACACCUAGUUAUAUUUUCUAAAAAAUAAAGUAACACCUAGCCAAACUGAAAUUUUAACAUUAAAACAAUGUAUAUUGAAUAGAAAAAAUAACUGUAAGGUGUGAGACAUAAGUUGGUGAAAGGACAGAUUUCAUUUCAAUGCUGCGUCAUUAGAGUCUAACUUUGACCUAAAGUUCUUCUUCUUCUUUUUUUAUCCUUGGAACAUGUUUAAUUGAUCAAUAUUUUCUCCUUAUUCUAUAAUCUUGGAUAAUCUUUGUUUAAAACAUUUUUUUUGUGAAAAACAGUUUGUUGCCUAUUGGGAGGCAACCCAAUAUUUUAGUAUUUUAUUUCAAUUUAGUGUGAUUUUUGGGUUUAGUUAAGUAUUGAUAUUUUGUUAUGUUUGUUUUGUAGCAAUGGGAAAAAGAAGCAAAAGAAGCCAAUUGAGGUGAAAAUGGCGAAUUUCGAUCAUGAAACUUAAUUCCUUGAUUUGAGUAAUUGUUGUUCUUGAUUUGUUAAAGAGGGUUAGAAUGCAUGUUUUGAUCAUUUUACAUAUGCGCGCAUUGAUUAUUUUGACAAAAGAAUGAUCUAGAAUGCAUUUUGAGAAAUUGGGAUAAAGUGUGUAAUUUUUAAAAGGUAAAAAUUUUCUGCAAAAAAUUAUAGCUCGGAAAACGUGGCAUGACCUCACGUUCUCUUCCAAACGUGGCAUGAGCUCACGUUCAAAAUAGUCUUCAUAUACUAAAAUGAACUUAUAGUUAAUUUCAUAACCAUGAAAGUUGGUAUGGUUUGGUUAUAAGUAUAGUUGAUUCACUACGAGAGUAGGCUUUACAAAAUACAGUUAUAAAUAGCAGGUAUAUUUGUCUGGUCUUUUACUUUUUUUGGUUCGUAUAGUUCUUUCAAGAGUCUAUGUAUAUCUGUUCGAGUAAUUGUCAAUCGUCUUCUUUUACAUCAACUCGUUAAUAAAUACAUCAAAUCUUGAAAGAAAUACCAAAAAUAUAACUUAUUAUGUAACUGGAAUAUCAUAUUUAAGCCUAAGGUUUUUUUUUUUAACCCUUCAUCUCCUUUCCACACCCCUUUCCACCCCCAACUGUCAGUCUUGUGAUUCAAACUUUGAACUUGACGGAGGAGGAAGCUCUUAGCCUUGGACCAACCCGGCCCAGGGGCAUGAAGCCAAAAGUUCGAGUGAUGACAAAACAGUAACAUAAAAUUAUAGGCCUAGCAACAGUAAUUAGGUGGCGUUGGUGUAUAUUUCCACACUGACUUCAUCACGGACGUGUAAAAACGUGUUCCAUGCUGGUGGACCAUGAUUUUGGUGAUUAGAUCCAACAAGAAAAAUUAAUUUAUGGACCACAUUUUUAGGCCUAUAAAUACAAGGUGUCUGGUUUGUUAUUUCAAUGUUCUAAACUCAGCUACCAAGUCUUCUCGAGUCACAACCAGUUACACAUCUAUUUUCAUUCUUAUUAAUUAGCUAGCCGGUUCUUUUAAGGAAAAAAUGGCUGCAGCCAAAUCUGCGAUUGGCACUGGACAGGUGAAUAGCGAUUGUAUGCCAAGCUAGACAUAUAUUUCUUUCUUUUUCAAGUUUCUGCAUGGUUUUGGGAAUCAACUCGUAAACAACUUGUAUAGAAACGUUUGAAAAAGUGUAAGGAGUUGCAAAUUAAAGCAAUUUCAACAUUCUUGAAUUGUCUUAAGCAAUAUUUUAUAUUUAUAGCUGUCUACAUGCAUAUGUCAGGAGGCGAUCUCUUGCAUUGUUUCAUUUCCGAGUGAUAUAGUUUCUUUUUAAUUGGUUGGAUUUAGUUUUCUGGUUGUUUGUUUAUUUGAAAGGAUUCUAAUUGAUAUUGGGAACGCAAUUUUUUUGCUUUUUCUUACUGGAAAAUAUGUUUGGGAUUUACAGACCGACAUCAGUUCACUGGAACCAGUGAAGCCGGCUGACCCUCACGUGAUCCAGAUCGGAAAAUUUGUAGAGCAACAACAUCACCACGGCAAGCUGCUUUCUGUCGCCGUGGUUGGCGGAUUCACGUGGAGCGGUGAUGGAGGCAAUUACUACGCACUUAUCAUUGAAAAUCAGGAUAGUGACGGUGCCACAUGUCUGCAUAAGCAUAAAGUACUUGUUCUUGAGACCCCGAGUGAAACAAAACUCAUAUGGCACAAGAAAUAAUCAAGCACUACUGUUGAUCAGCUGAGGAUCAACGACUUUAAGUACUUAAAUUAUCUAGUGUCUUUGGUGUGGUUUUUCAGUUCAUGCAUGGAUGAUGUACUGCUGGCAUGCAUACAUCUCCUCCUGUUGUACUACUAUGUGAGGUGCACUCGUACCAACAAAAAUGCACCAUUAAAUAAAAAAAGGCGUAUGUGUUUGAGUUUGUAUCCUUGAACUAGUAUGUCAAAGGUGUAUUUAUAUGAACAAAAAUGCACCAUUAAAUAAUAAAAACAGCUGUCUGUGUUUGAGUUUGUAUUUGCACAUUUUAUUUCUCUAUUACUUGCAAACAAUUUCCAAUCCUUGAGUUUUGUAUGUCAAUUAGGUACUAUAUUCAUGACUAGUUAUGAAGUCUGAUGACUAGUUAAGUCUUAUGAUAAGUGCAUAUUUUAUAUAAUUUUCAGCGAGUUUUAUUAGUUAGUUUUGGUGUGUUUUAUUUACUUUUAUAGCUAAUUAACUAAGUUUCUAGUGAGAAUAUGCAUUUUGUGGUUUAACCGGUAAAAAUUGCAUUUCUAUGAAUUUUAAUGGUAAAAACUUCAUGUUUUGUAGAUUUUAAUAAUUCAAACAUCAAAUGGCAUGAAUUGAGAAAAUAAUUGGAUGAUUGAUGAUGAUUUGAAGUGAUUUUAAAGAAGACAUGAAGUGCAAAAUACUCAAAGGAUGAAAUGCAAGUUUUCUAGCUUUGAAACCUUUUAGUAUUUCAGCUAUAUGUUGAGCUAAAAAUAUCGGAUGAAGGUGAUUCUUGAACUAUUUUGAAUCUAAGAGGUAGAUCACCAUUUGAAAUGAAGACAUAAAAAUCCAGUUUAGUCAUAUUUCCAGUCAAAAAGUCGAAAUACAGAAAUGCAAUUUCAUUUUCAAAAGUUGAAACAAAGUUUCUGACUAGUUGAGGGUAUUUUGGUCAUUUAUUGAUCCACAGAGCUCCAAAUUGGAUGAUUCUUACUGCAUUGGAGAGCUAACUCAAAGGGCUAUAAGUUUCAUGUUUCACACAAGAGUUAGUUCAACCUCUAUCAUCAAGAAAAUAUCAGUUGACGUUAGAUCAAAAACAGAGCAAGGAUGAAAUCUAUCCAGAAUUGAGCAAACCUACAAAAAGCAAUGCGUGGGAUACAAUACUCGACCUAAGGUCGGGUAUUCAUCAUUUUCAGCUGCAACUUGUUCCUUAUUCACACAACUUUCCAACUCAAUUCCAGCAAGGAAUUUUGACUAUAUCUGACCAAGAAGAGUGUAGAAACUUGGAGAACAACUCUUGGUGAGUUCAAAAGCCAAUUUUGCUAAUGAAGAAAGAACUCAACUUGAGCUUAAAUUCUCUAUAAAUAGUAGCCUUUGGAGACCAUUUUAAAAAUUUUGGAAGGCUAGAAAAACUCCACAAAAAUGUAGUCUUCACUAGAAUUUCCUUAGUUCAUUGGCUAGGUUAGUAUAGUAUAGCAUAGUUUAGGUAGUUAUGUGUGUUAUCCACUCUUGUAUAUUAAUUAGAUUAGGAUGAAAAUGGAGAUGAAGAAGUAGGGGUUGAAACUCAUGUGGUGAGGGUUAUCUCUUCUCCAACUCUUUAUCUGUUGUAUCGAAUUCUUAAGUAUGGUUAAUAUGCAAGUUUUGGAUUUAUGUUUCAAUAUGUGCGUCUAAAGUUUAUGCCUAGAGUUGUGGAUGAACUUUCUACAUCUUGUUAGUAAUAUUUACUUGGUUAUUUGAUGAUAUUAUUUUGAGUAAGUUAUUUAUAAUUUUUUAUUUUCUAAUCAUGAUUAACUGUUGAUUAAUUGUGAUAAUGUUAAGGUAUUAAGUUUGCAAUGAAAAUUGAAAUUUAGCACUAGUUCAAGGAAGUAAUAAACCUAGGAAGUUCACUCACGGGAGUAGAGGUGCACCUUUGCAGCUUUAGUGACUUGUUUCAUAGAAUUUCAUAAAAGAAAUGAACUUGUAGUUAAUUCAUAACCAUGAGAGUAAUUAUGGCUUAGUUACAAGUAUAGUUGAUUUACUACGAGAGUAGGUUUCACAUACAUGAGGAAAUUACGCCAUAACUAGUCAAGAUAAUAGCAUUCACUUAACCGGUAACUUCACUUGCAAGAAUAGUAAGGAAUUCCAUAUCUCUAGGAGUUUUCUAUUGUAUUUUUGUUACUUUUAUAGUGUAGAUUUAAUUUCUUGCACUAGUGAUAGUCUAAAUAAUAAAAAAGUUCGAAAACCACCGGUAAUUGAAACUCUUCCCUGUGGGUUUGACCUUUAAUACCCUAUACUCUCUCUCAACUCACAUACUAGCGAAAAAUCGCAUGUAAGGUAUUUAGAAUGUUAUAAAUAUAAAAUUUGACUGUGGAUAAGCUAAUUGUUAUAUGUAUAUCCUGUGCUCGUCAAGUUUUUAGCGCCGUUAUUGGGGAAGAUUUGGUCAAUAUCGGUGCUAAAAACAACCUUAUUAAUUUAGACAUUUUUUCUUGCUUUUCUUGUUUUUGUUGUGUUUAGUGUCCUUUUGUUAUGUUUAGUGUCUUGUUGAGUCUUUUAUUUUGUGUUUAGUAUUUUAUUUUUAUAUGUGUCAAGUCAUCUAUUCUUUUUUACUGAACUUGUUUUUAAGUUACUUUUAAAGCAUGUUUAGGGAUUCAAGAAGAGUAGGAAACAUGAGCGAACAAUGUGUGAGAAAUGGAAGAUCGACAAUAGAUGGUUAUUACAUCCAAAACUCCAUGGAUAGAGGUAAUCAAGAAAUUACCUCUUGUUCAUGGUUUAACCAGUCAAACCGGUCAAUCUGGCUCGAUUUAAAAACAAUGCACGAUGGCAUUCUUUUAUGUCUCUGGUAAGAUGUCAAAAUCCUUUAAUUUUGGCUUGAGAAAAAUUAAUGUUGUUACUGCUUGUUUACGCAAAAGCCAAAUCAAGUCACAAUACACCGGGAAGACAGAAUUUUAUCCCGUCUCAGAAUAUGCCAUUUAUUAAUGCCAAAGUAAAUUUAUAAGGAAGAAACCAACAAAUACAUAGUUCUAUAGAUUAAACAUUGGUUUCCCAAACUAUAAAUAGAAUGCUAAUGGAUUGAUUCAUAAAACAAUCACUUUCUAGUUCAACGUGUCAAUGAUGAAAGGCGCAUUAGUCAUAUUUCUUACCCUCAUAAGCCAAGUUUCAUUUAUAAAAUGUUACGAGGGAGAAAAUACGAGACCCUUCGAAAAUUCCUCCUCCCUGAGAGCUUAAACAGAUCAAACAAUUACAUAACUGAUGAGGAUUCAGCUCAUCAGUAUUCGCCAGUUUAUAUUGGUCCUCAAGAGGGGUUUAAAGCAGCCAACAAAAUCAUCGCAUUGCCAGGGGAACCAAAAGGAGUAAAGUUUGAUCAAUAUUCAGGGUAUGUCACUGUUGAUCCUACGGUUGGUCGAGCUCUCUUUUACUAUUUUUCCGAGUCCGAAAAUCCUGCCCGCUCACUCGCUAUGUUCUCAUCAUUCUUGGAAGGAAAGCUUCCAUCAUCAAGCUAGGACAAGAUGAAAGGGCCAAAGAGGAAAGGAGUUUGAUUAGUGCCAUGGAGCAAAUUGUUCAUGAUUGUUCAGCUCAUUGGGUUUGUUGUUUCACUCAUGGUUCAACUUUGUUAAACCAAAAUAGGUCUCUGCACGUUGCUUCAAGUUUAUAAUUAUGGAGGGCCUCUGUAAGUUUUAUGUUUUAAUAAAGAACUCUGAAUUGUCUUAAGAUCAAUUUGUGGCUUGGUCACCAUACAACUAUCCUUGACUUGGAAGUUAACCAUAAAUUAAUUUAAUUCAUACCCCAAGUCUGCGCUUAAUUCAGAAGCAUAGAUGUACGUGAAAGCAAAUAUUGGGUGGACCACAGGAGAAACUGUGAAUUUCCAAUUGGAAGAUUGAAGUCAUUGGCACAUUAAAUUUCUCAUUAGAAAUUUCAAAGUUGAUGGAUAUAAUUUCUCUAGGUUUAACUGUUUAAGUACUCAUUCUUCUUUUUCUAAUACUAGGUAUGGCCAAGCUCAUAAAUAUGCCAAAUAGAAAUUUCUAUACGACCUCUUAAAUAAAGUUUGGAUUUUUCUUUGGUAAGUCACAUUCAUCUCUACCAUAUUCCAACUUAAUUUCAACGAGAAUAUGUACAAGAAAUCAUAUUUAAUUCAUCAUCAUUGAAAGUAACACAUCAAUGUGCGAACCAUUUAUUCCCAAACUAAGUAAUUGUCUUUCUUUAUAGCUACCUACUAAGCAUACUUGUGAUGUUAGUCAUGUUUCUCUAAUCUAAAUUAUUUGGCUUUGGCUAUUGCUUUUCUCAAUCUUUCACUAAAAUUGACAAUCAACUGGACUAAAUAUUCUAUAAUAGUGUUUUAUAUGUCUUCGUGAGGGAGAAUUUUGAUAGUAAUAAAACACUUGAAAUAGUUAAACUAAGAAGCUGUCUUUCUUUAUAAAUGCUUGGUACUUACUAAGCAUACUCGUGAUGUUAGUUAUGUUUCUCUAUUCUAAAUUAUUUGGCUAUUGUUUUUCUGAAUUUUUCACUAAAAAUGACACUUAACAGGGCUCACAUAGUAUGAUAGUGUCUUUUGUCUUCUUGGGGAGAAGUUUGAUAGUAAUACAACACUUCAAAUAAUCAACUUUUUAAUUUUAUUAAUCUAAGAAAAAAGAAUUUAGUGAGUAGUUGCUACUAAAGUGAUAUAUACAACAUGCAAUGUCACCUGCUCCUGUACUAGCCUUCAAAAAAAGAGAAAGAGCCUUUAAUAUGCUUGGAGAUGGCAUCGGUUCAUGUGUCAACUUGCUAAAAUAACUAAAUCAACUCAAUUCUGAAGUUGACAGUGAGAGGAGAUCUUAGUCACUGGACCAACCCGGCCUAGUGGUAUGAAGUCAAAGGUUUGAAUGAUGAUAAAACAAUAACAGAAAAAUAUAGGCCUAGCUGUACCAAGUUUUCGACAGUAACCAGUUACAAAUAUCUAUUUUCAUCCUUAUUAAUUAGCAAGCUAGCUCUUUAAGGAAAAAAUGGCUGCAGCCAAAUCUGCUAUUGGCACAGGAAAGGUAAAUAACGUUUGGAAGAGUAUAAGGAGUUGCAAAUUACAGUAACAAUAACAUUCUUGAAUUUUCUUAAGCAAUAUUUUAUGUUUUCUAGUUGUCUACACACAUUAAUUGGUCUCAUGAAUUGUCUAUUAAGCUUCUUCUGAGUGAUACAGUUUGUUAUUAAUUGGUCGGAUUUAGUUUUCUUAUAAGCAGUUUGUUUAUUUGAAAGGAUUCUGAUUGAUUUUGGGAACUCAAUUGUUUGGGUUUCACAGAACGACAUCAGUUCACUAGAACCAGUGAAGCCAGCUGACCCUCACGUGAUCCAGAUCGGACAACAUGUAGUGGAACAAUGUCACCACGGCCAGCUACUUUUCGUCGCCGUGGUUGGCGUAUUCACCUGGAGCGGUGAUGGAGGUUAUUACUACGCACUUAUCAUUGAAAAUCAGGAUAGCGACGGUGCCACAUAUCUCCACAAAGCACUUGUUCUUGAGACCCCAAGUGAAACGAAACUCAUCUGGCACAAGAAAUAAGCAAGCACUGCUGUUGAUCAACUGAGGAUCAACGACAUUAAGUACUCUAAUUAUAUAGUGUCUUUGGUGUGGUUUUCAGUUUCUGCAUGGAUGAUGUACUGCUGGCAUGAAUACAUCUCCCUGCU
rnacentral:lncRNA from 1 species